CCUACGGGAGGCAGCCGUGAGGAAUAUUGGUCAAUGGACGAGAGUCUGAACCAGCCAAGUAGCGUGAAGGAUGACUGCACUAUGGGUUGUAAACUUCUUUUAUAUGGGAAUAAAAUGUUCCACGUGUGGGCUUUUGUAUGUACCAUAUGAAUAAGGAUCGGCUAACUCCGUGCCAGCAGCCGCGGUAAUACGGAGGAUCCGAGCGUUGUCCGGAUUUAUUGGGUUUAAAGGGAGCGUAGGGGGAUUGUUAAGUCAGUUGUGAAAGUUUGCGGCUCAACCGUAAAAUUGCAGUUGAAACUGGCAGUCUUGAGUACAGUAGAGGUGGGCGGAAUGCGUGGUGUAGCGGUGAAAUGCUUAGAUAUCACGAAGAACUCCGAUUGCGAAGGCAGCUCACUGGACUGCAACUGACACUGAGGCUCGAAAGUGUGGGUAUCAAACAGGAUUAGAUACCCGAGUAGUC
rnacentral:rRNA from 1 species